GACGAACGCUGGCGGCGUGCCUAAUACAUGCAAGUAGAACGCUGAAGAGAGGAGCUUGCUCUUCUUGGAUGAGUUGCGAACGGGUGAGUAACGCGUAGGUAACCUGCCUGGUAGCGGGGGAUAACUAUUGGAAACGAUAGCUAAUACCGCAUAAAAUUGAUUAUUGCAUGAUAAUUAAUUGAAAGAUGCAACUGCAUCACUACCAGAUGGACCUGCGUUGUAUUAGCUAGUUGGUGAGGUAACGGCUCACCAAGGCGACGAUACAUAGCCGACCUGAGAGGGUGGUCGGCCACACUGGGACGGAGACACGGCCCAGACUCCUACGGGAGGCAGCAGUAGGGAAUCUUCGGCAAUGGGGGGAACCCUGACCGAGCAACGCCGCGUGAGUGAAGAAGGGUUUCGGAUCGUAAAGCUCUGUUGUAAGAGAAGAACGGGUGUGAGAGUGGAAAGUUCACACUGUGACGGUAUCUUACCAGAAAGGGACGGCUAACUACGUG
rnacentral:rRNA from 1 species